rnacentral:rRNA from 1 species
UACGAAGGGUGCGAGCGUUAUUCGGAAUUAUUGGGCGUAAAGCGCUCGCAGGCGGCUCGAUGCGUCGUGCGUGAAACACCCCGGCUCAACUGGGGAGGGUCGUGCGAUACGGUCGGGCUUGAGGCCAGUAGGGGGAUGCGGAAUUCCGGGUGUAGUGGUGGAAUGCGCAGAUAUCAGGAGGAACACCGAUGGCGAAGGCAGGUCUCUGGGCAUUAACUGACGCUGAGGAGCGAAAGCAUGGGGAGCGAACAGG